rnacentral:lncRNA from 1 species
CAUUUGGAUAAAUGUCUCACAUUAAAGUGAGACAGCCAGCAAAGAAAGACACAUGAAGCAAAUGGAGCCACACGUGAUGAUCAUACUGAUCUCUGCUAAAUCAAGCUACAGCACACAGGAGUCCCAAAGCUUGCUGGGCCUUCUCUCACCUGCAUGUUCACUCUUAUUAAAUUAUGAUGAGCCCUCUGACAAACUGUCAUAUUUGAAGGACCUUUUACCAGAGAAGAGGAGGGGGAGGAAGAGAGAAAUCAAAAAAGAUAAGCAAAAGGGCUGGGCUUGCUGUGUGAUCACAGAUAAAAUACCAAACAGUUAAAUAAUGCUGGAGGGUGACCUCUUAUGUGACCC